CGCAUUAAGAUAAAAUUUACUUUCAAAAUAAUUAACUUACUUCUUUCAUGGAAGCUCUGGUGGAAAUUUAGGGCACAAACUCCGUUCGGGAUACUAAAUCUAGUUAUAGUCAAAAUUAUCAUCCUUGUCAAGUUCAAACUAAGGUGCAAGACUUGUCUGUUUGGAAGAGACUUCUAGCCGUUAGGGAAGCAGCAGAACCACGUAUUUUGGAAACUGAGGCUGGGAAAUAUUUCCUUUUGGUUUGACAGUCGGAGCACUAACUCAUAACUGUUCAACUUAUGAAAGAGGGCAGCUUUGGAUGUAGGUACGCUCAAUACUUUACAGCUUAAUUGUAUGAUCGAAGAUAUAAUAAGAAUUUCUCCUUAUAUUAAAGGCCAUGACAUAAUCUACUGCAAACUAAUUAGCAAUGGAGCCCCUAGUGCUCUAUGUUGGAAGUACUUGGGCAAAGGAUAAAUAUCAAAUCCUUGGACAAAUAAAUAUGGAAGAAAUAUAUGACUUUAAAGGACUCAUUUUUCACAUGGAGAACAUGGCACGACUUAUUGACAUUAGAUAGAAGAGGUGCAAAUUAUGAUGAAAAUUAGCAUAACUUGUAAGUUCCGGUGGCAAAGUAUGAAUUAGUUGAACAAGUGCUAUUAUAUGGCAUUGUUGCUAAGGAAGUAUGGAGGUUCUUUCCAAGGCCUCUAUUAAAUUAAUUUGCAAACAAUCUAUAUGGCCGUGCAGAGUACAAUACCAGUUGGAGGAAAUUCAAUAUUAGCAGAAGAAUGAUAGUUUCAAAGCAAUGCUGUUGCCUUUUGGAGAGAAAGUAAUGGGGUCACUGAUUGGUGGCUAAUACUGAGUAUAAAGAAAGGCAGUUCAAGCUACUGUGCCCUCAAGAGCUAACUGGUUAAAUCAAAAGAAUUUUGCGCCCAGAUAUAAGGGGCUCCCAAGUUUAAGAGUGUAAAUAAUCGCCAAGGACACAAAGGGAGAUUCAAGAUUGCACAAGCACUGGAGCUCAAGGGUGAGGUUGUAGGUUUGUUAGUCUGCUCACUUAAUUCGUUGUUGAAUUUAGUAGUUUAGCUGAUCUAAACUCAUUUGUUCAACUAGGAGGUAAGGUCCACGUCCCCCUCUAUGUAAUAAUCCUUUCUAUCAAUAUCUGGGCAGGAGGGCAACCACUUGGCUUAGUUGAGUCAACCUAAAA
rnacentral:lncRNA from 1 species